CUCUCCUUAGCCUGUUUGUGGAGUUGAGACUGUGGAUCAAGCAAAGAGCGUGGUCCUAAAUGCUAUCAGAGAAAGCUAGCAAGAUAAAUGUUGUUUUCCUUUUUUAUUGGUCAUGCUGGGCAUGGCCUAUUAUCUUUAAAUGGACUGAGCAGUUACUGUAGAGAAAAGAACAAGGAUAGUAUCUCUACUCAGGCUUGUUAUAGUCUCCAGGGCAAAGACUGUGAGGCAUGACUGAUAAACAAAGCAACUGCAAAAGCUAAUGUUGCUCCUCUGCAGACAGGACAGAAAAGGCAAAUAUUUAAAAAGUGGUAGUUUGUAAAUUAUGAUCAUCCCCACCCCCCUCAAAAAUCCAUUAACAAGGAAAUUUUUCAGCCAAGUAAACUCUGCCCUAGGAACACAUGUUCAAGAAUUUUUUCAGACUUAACCUAAAUUAAGCAGGUUUCUCAUCAGCCAUUUGGCCAAGAAAGUGUAACCUUACUGCAAAAGGGACUAUGUUGCCAUUCUGAAGAUCUUCUAAACUGCAUAAGAUGAAAAGAUCGUCCCAGCAUGACGAUACUUCUGUUGCUGAGCUUCAGUAGCACAGCCUUAGGCUCCCUUACAGCCAGUGGCGAGAGGUAACUCAUAACCUGCAUAUUUCCCAUCAUCUCCUAGUACUGUUCUCCAUCUAUGGAUUAUUCAUGGCGCUUUGGCCCAAGCUCUUUGGAAAGAAGGGUGCACUAACAUAUGAAAGACAAGUUGGAUACUUCCAUCAAGAAGAUCCUUUCACACCAAGCAGUCACACAAGCUCCCACCUGUGUGCAGCAUGAGGUAGUAAAGAGGCAUCUGCAAGUCUGUCUCAGCCAGUCAGCAGAAAGAGACUGGGCAAUUUUUCCCACUUCAAGAUAUACAAUCGACGCUUUUGAAAAAUUAAAAAUUAAAAACGAAUC